rnacentral:rRNA from 1 species
AUUGAACGCUGGCGGCAGGCCUAACACAUGCAAGUCGAGCGGAUGAAGAGAGCUUGCUCUCUGAUUCAGCGGCGGACGGGUGAGUAAUGCCUAGGAAUCUGCCUGGUAGUGGGGGACAACGUUUCGAAAGGAACGCUAAUACCGCAUACGUCCUACGGGAGAAAGUGGGGGAUCUUCGGACCUCACGCUAUCAGAUGAGCCUAGGUCGGAUUAGCUAGUUGGUGAGGUAAAGGCUCACCAAGGCGACGAUCCGUAACUGGUCUGAGAGGAUGAUCAGUAACACUGGAACUGAGACACGGUCCAGACUCCUACGGGAGGCAGCAGUGGGGAAUAUUGGACAAUGGGCGAAAGCCUGAUCCAGCCAUGCCGCGUGUGUGAAGAAGGUCUUCGGAUUGUGGAGCACUUUAAGUUGGGAGGAAGGGCAGUAAGUUAAUACCUUGCUGUUUUGACGUUACCAACAGAAUAAGCACCGGCUAACUUCGUGCCAGCAGCCGCCGCUGUAA